rnacentral:tRNA from 1 species
CGGGGUUGUAGCUCAGUCGGUUAGAGCGUCGGCCUGUCACGCCGAAGGUCGAGAGUUCGAGUCUCUUCAGCCCCGCCAU